ensembl:lncRNA
CUCUUCUCUAAGACAGUGCCGCUUCUCCAAAAUAUGAUGUUUUGCCUAAAGGACAGUGACAGGUGACCAUUGUGAGGAAUAUUAGUAUUGGAUUUCCUCUCUGGGCCACAGGAACGCACUCACGCGCACUCUUCGCCUGGAAUAACACUGACAGGGCGUGUAACAUGUGCCAGCUCUUGCGUUUUUAGCAUGAAACCGAAAAAUAUGGCUUUGUUCAGAGAAACACAUGGUUUCUGGGGUUUUUUUUCUUCUCAGGACCAUUGUUUGGAAAUGUUUGGGAUUGUAUCUUGAAUUCUCUUUCCAUUCUGUCUUGCUCUUUUUAAAAAAAAAAAAAAAAAAAAAAAAAAGUUGCAAGUCCUCACAGGAAAAUUAUAAACAGAUGAGUGGGAUGGGAACAGAUCCUGUGCGUCAGCGACGUAGCAGAGACACCACGCUGAUUCCCAGGCUUUCUGAAGGCAAGCCGAUGCUUGAUGGCACAGAGAACCAGAAAAACUGGUCAGGGCUUUACCGUUAGCUGUCACUCUCACAUAAACACACAUACACCAUACGCCACAGGCAAGCACAUGACACAUACAAGUCCCUGCAGACUCUUCAGCGCCUGGCACAAUCAUCACUCAUCAGCCUUGACGGGCUCUGAGUUUUUAAAAAAAAAAAAAAAAAAAAAACCCCGAAACAUGGGAGUCUGGAUGUUCACACACAUAAUGCUUCGAAUGCGAGCUGUGGUUGUGAAACACUGCGGUCCUGUUGCACAAAGCUACUUGUGGAUGGCGCUCUGGUCCACGGGAUAUCACUCUUGCUGUGUUGCUUUGACAUUCUCUGGCACAAGCACGUCAAGUCCGAAGCUACACAAAGAGUGACCUGACACACUCGUACAAAAGCCUGUACCAACUCUCGAGUCCGGCCUGGUCCUCUCUCACGAAUUAAACCCAGAUCUCCUAUAGUUCAACAGACUGACAGCUCUUUCUGUGUGCCAGCACCCCUUUUCCUCCAAAGGUCCCUCAGGCCAGGAACAUAGGAUUGGUUAAACUGGCGAGUAAGCUCAACAGUCAAACAAGUUCCUCACUUGGCACUCUUCUGCAGCCUUUUAGACACCACAAGGCUCUGACUUGGCAGCAGCGAGCGAACGCAGCAAUUAAGUCGACUCUCUAACGGUUGCCGGCGUCCAUGACGCAAGGCCUGAAUGAAUCACGGGGAAUGAUUCAGAGAUCUCACACUGAGGCAGAAAAUGAGCCAACAGAGGAACAGAGAACGCACUUUACUCAUGAGUGCUGAUGUAUGUCUUGUGGUUUUCAUUCAGCUAAGGACGAAGGCACUUUAUUUGAAAAACUUGGGUCUGCGUUAAAAAAAAAAAGACUAAUAAGUAUCAUUUUUCUAGAAAGCAAUGCAGGAGGAUUUAUCGAAUGCUUAUUUGGGAAAUUGUGAGUAUGUAACUGGCUUUAAAUGAAGGAAGAACUAUUAUCAGAGACCCUUCUUUAAAGGGUACCUCCAUUUUUGUUUUUUAUUACGUUUUCAUUCACCUUCAUAAACACCGUAUAAAUCAUGUUGCAUGCAAUAUAGAGGAUUUCUGUAAGGCUUACGUUAACAUGUGAGGUGAUCAAGGUUAUACAGUCAUGUGAAAAAAUAAGUACACCCCAUGGAAUUUUUUUUUUUUUUUUUUUUUUCCUACAUAUUUGGACAAGCAAACAUUUGAUCCUCUUUGAAACAGUGACUAUUAAUAAAGGUGAUACACUCUGUCGAUUUAAAAGGCGUUUCGGAUUGGGUUAGAACCUGCUUAGGGAGGGCAGGUGGAACCCGUCUUAUUUAUAAUCCCUUUGUUAUUGAGGUGUGUGGUGUCAUCAUGCCAAGAUUUAAAGAGUUCUGUAAGGCCUUCAGAAAAAAAAAAGGUUGUGGAUGCGUAUGAAUCUGGCAAGGGAUUUAAAAAGAUCUCCAGAUUAUUUGAAAUACGUCAUACAAUAAUCUACAAGUGGCACGGAUUUCAAAUGACUGCCAAUUUGUCCAGGACUGGCCGUCCCGGCAAAUUCAACCCCAGAGCAGACCAUCUGAUGCAAAAAGAACUCUCCAAGAUCCCCAAAAUUUCAUCACAGGAUCUGCUGUUGGUGUCAAAGUGCAUGCUUCUACAAUCAGAAAGAGAUUGCACAAAUUUGACCUGCAUGGGAGGUGUGCCAGGAAAAAGCCUUUUUAAGACUACAGUAUAGGCAAAUAUAGGCAAAGACCAGGCCUUUUGGAAUAAUGUGCUCUGGACAGAUGAAUCAAUGAUAGAGCCACAGUAACAGAGGAUAUGUCUGGUGCAGACCAAAGACAGCUUUUCAAAAGAAGCACCUCAUACCAACUGUGAAGCACGGUGGUGGAAAUGUUAUGGUUUGGGGUUGCUUCGCUGCCUCACGGACUGGACAGCUUGCAUUCAUUGAUUCAACUAUGCAUCAUAUCAAAGAGUGCUUGAAGAUAAUGUGAGGCCAACUGUCUGAAAGUUGAAGUUGAACCGAAAGUUGACCUUUCAACAGGAUAAUGAUCCUAAGCACACGAGCAAAUCCACCAAGGAACGUCUCAAAAAGAAGAAAUGGAGGGUUAUGGAAUGGCCUAGUCAAAGCCCGGAUUUGAAUCCUAUUGAAAUGUUAUGGGGGGGAUUUAAAACGGGGAGUAUAAGCACGAAAAUGCUCAAACAUCUUGCAACUGAAAGAAUAUUGCACGGAAGAGUGGUCAAAAAUUCCAGCACGCCUGGUGGACAAUUAUGCAAAACGCCUUCAGGUUGUGAUUUCUGAUAAAGGGGGCAAUACUAGCGUCUGAGGCCAAGGGUGUACUUACUUUUCCCACAGAAGAAUAUCACAUCUAUUGAUAUUUCUGUUGAAUAAAUGAUUGAAAAAGCUCAUUUUCCUUGCGGUUCUGUUCAAGUAUAUCAACUUUAUUAAUAGGCACCGCUUCAAAGAGGAUUCUCCAUUCUGAUUAGCCAGAAGGUAAUCGAUUUAUUUACCGUCUCUAAUUCAAAUCAAAGCUCGGUAUUAAUGCAUUCGUUCAGAUGCAUCACCGUGUCUAUGGAAACAACGUACACACGGUGGACGCUCGACACAAAUAAAUAAAUAAAUAACAUGUAAUUAUUCAUAUGCUAACGUUUUCUACAAGGAGACAUUUAUUAAAC